UAGAGUUUGAUCCUGGCUCAGAUUGAACGCUGGCGGCAUGCUUUACACAUGCAAGUCGAACGGUAACAGGUCUUCGGAUGCUGACGAGUGGCGAACGGGUGAGUAAUACAUCGGAACGUGCCUAGUAGUUGGGGAUAACUACUCGAAAGAGUAGCUAAUACCGCAUGAGAUCUACGGAUGAAAGCAGGGGACCUUCGGGCCUUGUGCUACUAGAGCGGCUGAUGGCAGAUUAGGUAGUUGGUGGGGUAAAGGCUUACCAAGCCUGCGAUCUGUAGCUGGUCUGAGAGGACGACCAGCCACACUGGGACUGAGACACGGCCCAGACUCCUACGGGAGGCAGCAGUGGGGAAUUUUGGACAAUGGGCGAAAGCCUGAUCCAGCAAUGCCGCGUGCAGGAUGAAGGCCCUCGGGUUGUAAACUGCUUUUGUACGGAACGAAAAGCCUGGGGCUAAUAUCCCCGGGUCAUGACGGUACCGUAGGAUAGCACCGGCUACUACGUGCCAGCAGCGCGGUAAUACGUAGUGCAGCGUAAUCGAUACUGGGGCGUAA
rnacentral:rRNA from 1 species